rnacentral:rRNA from 1 species
UACGAAGGGGGCUAGCGUUGCUCGGAAUCACUGGGCGUAAAGCGCACGUAGGCGGAUUCUUAAGUCGGUGGUGAAAUCCUGGAGCUCAACUCCAGAACUGCCUUCGAUACUGAGAGUCUUGAGUUCGGGAGAGGUGAGUGGAACUGCGAGUGUAGAGGUGAAAUUCGUAGAUAUUCGCAAGAACACCAGUGGCGAAGGCGGCUCACUGGCCCGAUACUGACGCUGAGACGCGAAAGCGUGGGGAGCGAACAGG